GCGUCCGUAGCUCAAUGAAUAGAGCAGCUCUUUGUCGAGGGGCCAGAUGUGGGUUGAACUCCCACCGGACGCC
rnacentral:tRNA from 1 species